GUGAGGAAUAUUGCGCAAUGGAGGCAACUCUGACGCAGCCAUGCCGCGUGCAGGAAGAAGGCGCUACGCGUUGUAAACUGCUUUUAACCGGGAAGAAACCCCAGGACGUGUCCUGGGUUGACGGUACCGGAGGAAUAAGCACCGGCUAACUUCGUGCCAGUAGCCGCGGUAAUACGAAGGGUGCAAGCGUUAUCCGGAUUCAUUGGGUUUAAAGGGUGCGUAGGCGGAGCGUUAAGUCAGUGGUGAAAUCCUGCAGCUUAACUGUAGACUUGCCAUUGAUACUGGCGCUCUUGAGUGCGCUUGAAGUGGGCGGAAUGUGCCGUGUAGCGGUGAAAUGCUUAGAUAUGGCACAGAACACCAAUUGCGAAGGCAGCUCACUAAGGCGAUACUGACGCUGAGGCACGAAAGCGUGGGGAUCGAACAGGAUUAGAAACCCUUGUAGUCC
rnacentral:rRNA from 1 species